rnacentral:lncRNA from 1 species
GUAAGCUAGCUGCUGCAUCCAAAACAGACCCUCAAAUACUAACCAAGAGAAUCACAGGUGGUGCCCAAGACUCAAGUGAGAAGAGUUUUCUGUGUUCCAGAUGUGAUAUAUAGAAGAAGAAACAUUCCCUUGAGGAGCUGACAGUAGGGAUUGCAGAGGACUCAGAUACCAUAUGAGUAGAUAUGGUAUCUCAGAUACCAUGUAAGAGUUCCAGGUUGGUUCAACUCUUACUUCAUAAGAGGGCAAAUAUUUUAUGAUAAACCAGAAGUAAAUGUCAGG